GGAGGAAAGGGAAAGGAGGACUCCUCCAAAGGGGCACCAGAGCGAGCGGGGGAGGGGACGGCGGAGGAGGGGGGGAGAGGGGGCUGAAAGAGCCUUUCACACCUUCGGGUAGGAGACCGGUUCUGGAGAGAAAGGGCUGAGGACUGGGAGGCUGCGGCGGCUGCUGGCUCCUACAGCCGCUAGCUCCAGAGGAGGCGCGGCUAGAGUCGCGGGGACCGUGCUACCAAGAGCCGGGAAGGUGCGGAGACCCCAGACCGCGCGCAAUAGAAAACGCGGCGGCCGCCCAAGCUGUCACCUCCAACCUCUCCCCUUGCGGCCGCCUCUGCCAGAAGCCAGAGCGGGACUCACUGACAAGCCGCAGAGAGAAAGACACUGAGAGGGAGAUGAUUAUUAGUUGCGUUGAGUCAUCAGGCAAAGGACCAGAGGACAGCACAUCAUUGCUCAGGUGUCACUUAACUCCCAGAACACAUGAAGUGGCUUAGGCUAGUUGAACCCAGAGAUCUGCCUGUCUAUGCCUCCCACCCUGGGACUACAUACAUGCAUCAGCACAUCCAACUCUUUAGACUGUGGAUUCUGGAGGUUGAAUUCAACCACAUCUGCUUAUAAGUCAUUUUAGCCAGAGACAAGAAUGACUCUACCUUAAAUUCAAUCAUGAAGGAAUACGAUAACACUGGAAUCCUAUAGUUCUUGUAAGACUUUACCAAAGUUUUGUCUGGGGAUUAACAAAUGAUGUACUUUCUCUAAGCUGGCAGAUGGUGCUGCCGCAGCCUGAUUCAAACAGAACCAUGUCUGUGAGGCCUUUCCUGUCAGAGAUCUACCAGGAGAAGCAAACACCCUGGGCACACCUUCCAAAGCUAGAGAUCAGAGCCUAUAAAGGCCACAGUGGUUCACAGAGGAGUCCAGCAGACCUGGACAUGGAUACCUGCUGCUCUACAACCUAAAGAAAGAGAGCCUUAACUUUUCUACAAUAUGGUUUCCUUACGUACAAAACGGAAGACACAAUUCAACUCUGUCAGAAGAAAAUGUUGGUCCUGAGACUCGUGUAUGCAAAAAGAUUAUUGUGUACCUGAUUAACAUAAGACUUCCAUAAUAGUACUGUAUUGUUAAAUCUAAGUUAAUGGACUAAUUUAUAUCUACCCUAGAUAUUGGAGACAUUAAUAAUUUUUAGAGAGUGUAUACCCAAAUGUUACUGACCCAGGUGGCUUCAUAGCACCUAAUCAGAUUGCUGCUUGCUCAAUAUAAAAAAGUAAUUAACUGAUUGGUUUCCAUUUGGGGUGCAAUCUUAUUCUUUAACUUAAUGAUUCAUUAAGGUUUUAUUUUUAAAAAUAGUCUGGAUUUUAAAUGCAAUGCUGAAUUUAAGUUAUUUUUUGUCGUCUGGUAGUCUGUUUUUUAAAAACAAUUUAGUUUCUUUUUAAUUUUAUUGUAUUGCUAUAGGCCUAGUAAACACUCUUGAAAAUGUAACUAUAAAAAUGGAGGCUACAGGCUGGCACUUAGCCCACAGGUGACACUGUGCUAUCCCUCCAUGUUUUCCCAUGUUCCUUUCUGUGAUUCUCUUUAGUAUUAAGGUCAGGCUUCAGCCAUCAAACCAUCCUGGAGCACCCCAUUAUGAUAUUGGCUGGUGGAAAAAUGUGUAUUUCUCAUUAAAGCACACCUGAAAAGUGUAAGACUUUAGCAGUCAAUGAAAACUGUCCUUUGUUGCAAUAUUUUAGCUAAGUGUGUGCUUUGCAGUUUGUGUUAGAAUCCUAAUUUAUGUUUUUUGUAGUCAUUUACCAAAUGGAAAGUAGCAACAUAUUUAGGGUUAGAACCUGAGACAUCUUAUAAGUGAUUUAAAAUAAAAUAUCUGGGGAUAGAAACCCUCUUUUCUUCUUUUGCUCCAACUUUUCUAAAAACAGAAGAAAUACAAUUAUAUUAAUUUCUUAAGAAAAAACUAUUAAUGGCAAGGGUUUUUUUUUGUAAGGAUAUGUAACAGAGUAUUCAGCCUCUGCUGAUGGGGUUUUAAGUUGGGACAGUCACUUUGGAGAAUUGUUGAACAAUCUCUAUUAAGCUGAAACACACAUAUUCUGUGACUCAGCAACUCUCCACCGGGAAUGAUAACUAUAUUAGAUGAACUGCAUUAAAAUGUCUCCUUUUAUGCAUAACAGACAACGACUGUAAGCAAAUCAAAAGCUGACUAGUAGUUGAAUAGCUAAAUAAAUUGUAGUAUUCAUACAACCAAACCCCUAUGCCAAUAAUAAAGUACAAGAUUACAGCAUCCAGUAGAGAAGAUGGGAUCCAUGAUCAUAAUGUUGAGUGGAAGCAGAUGCCUAGCAGAGGAUAUACUUUGUGGUCCAUCUUACCUAAAAUUCAAAGUCAGGAAAUGCAACCAGCACAUAGCCACGUAGGGAAGAUAGUGCUGGGAAGAAAAGAAUUGUUUUGUAGCAUGUGCUUUGAAGUGAUAUGGGGUGAGCCAGUAUAUGAAACGACUGUGUGCACUUGUGUGCACCAAUGUUCUAUUAUUGUGUAAUAAAACACAACAAAAUGGUUUCUUGGAUAAAGACUGUAAAAGGCGGUUUAUAGUUUGGGGGACAUUACACUAGUUCUCUGAGCCUUUGAACUUUUCGCUGCUUCUCUCUCGUCUCCAUUUCCCUCUUCUAUAAGUAACAGCUUAUAGCCACAGGGCUCCUCAGACUUGCCUUCCCUCUGUCAUUGUCUACCAACCCCAGAAUCAACUACACAUCCACCAAACUUCUUGUCGCCUGGACUGGACAAGAGCUCAUGUUUUCUGGUGGGGAUGGUGUCACAAAGCUAAAGCCAUUCUUUCCUCAAAAGAUUCUUGGGCAAACUGACAGAAAGAAAAUCUUUAUAUUUUUAAUUUUUUUGUUUUUAAAAUUAUAAUUACAACAUUUCUCCUUUCCCUCUCCUCCCUUCAAAGUCUCCCAUAUUCCCCUCCUUACUCUCUUUCAGACUCUUGGCCUUUUUUCAUUAAAUAUUAUUACAUACAUAUCUGUAUGUGUAUACACACACACACACACACACACACACACACACACACUUUGUAAAACAUAACCUGCUCAGUCUAUAAAAUGUUUCUGUAUGUCUGUUCUUAGAGCCAACCAUUUCGUUAUUGUAUAACUAGUUGGUAUGCUUCUACAGAAAAGAGUUUUGGUACCUACUAUUCCUUCAGUGUUCAUUCUUGUUAAGCAAGGAUGGGUCCUUAACCCUAACAAGGAUGAGAGGCUUAAACCACACACUAGAGUUGAGGUAAGCAACAUAAAGACACAGGACCUUAGUAAGGCAUCCGUUAGGGCUUUACGCUUUAGAGCUGCCAAUGGUAUGAUUUGGGUUUGUGAUUACCUACUACACCUCACCUAGCAAACCGAGGUUCUGAACUCUUCCUUGCUCACUAGAUCCUGAUGAGAAAGUCCGACCUGAAUCAAAGGCAAGCAGAUUAUAUGAGGCUCUCUGUGACAUGCUAGCCAUGCCCUUCCCUAGGCCAAGAGCUUCCCUAAAUCAAGAUUCUUGUUCAGAGACUCUGGCCCUGCAUAGUAGUGGAGGGGGAGAUAUGUUUCUUUAGAGACCUUCCCUGGCUCCUCUCUUCUUACCUUAGGACAAUCCACAGAAGUUAUUAGGGUUGAAAAUUUGCUGAAAUCUCUGUAUAUCUCAUUUCCAAGAAUUUUCCAUAGCAAAAGGAUAUUGAUUUCCCACCAGGACUCAGUCAAGUGUAGUAAAUCUAAUAGUUUUUGGGAAGGUGAUCCUUCCACUGACUGACCAUAUUUCCCACCCUCACAGAGCAAUGCUGUGGCAACCAAAACUUAUCUGAAACACUCCAUUUGAAGUUUGGAACUUUUUGCAUCUUGUGGGGAGAAAGGAUCAGAGAAAGAUCCCAUAGAAGUGGAUUUGUGAGGGGGGCAGGAAAGCAAGAAGGAGCCAACCUAGGAUAGCUAUGCGACCAGGGAAGAAAGGAGAUGUGUAACCAGCAGCUUCAUAGGGCUGAGUAGAGGCUGGGAGACAUCAGCUCCCUAAUGAGAGUGCAUUGUGAGUUCUGUAGCAUGGAGAAAGGUUUAAGAUCUUACUCCAGCAAUGGCAGGGUUUAUCAACAUUCCCUUAGCUCGAAAAGGAAACCAUAGUUUUCAUCAUUCCUCACUGAGCUGUGACACGUGACAACUAUUCCUGAGGUUAGAGGUUGGAAAUACUUUUAGGUCAGCUUUUCCAUAGAAGCUAGCUCCCCUCUGGGCCUGGAGCGAUGUCAACAGCCUGCUAUAUCCUCACCCCUCAGCACCUGGGAAGCAGGUUAGCAUCCAUGCCCAGUCACUAGUGGAUCUGUGAGUGCCAUGGAGAAAAAAGAAGAAAACAGUCCAAUGGUCUGGGAUGUACCCACUAACAGAAAGCCUUCCAGCCACUCGCUACCAGCUCUAAAGCAGAGUAGCUGUGAGAGUUGGCUUCGGAAGGCAAAUCGGUUGUGGUUUGGAUAUGAACUCCCUCAAGAGGCGUGUGUGGACAGCGUGGUGCUCAGCUGGCGAGGCAGUGGAGAGGCCUUGGCUCACAGGUUGCCAACUUCCUGACUAGAUUACCUACUGGUGAGCUCCCAAGCUGAGAGGGGUUACUCAAAGACUCAAUCAGAGGAAGUGCUUUACUUAGUGUGCCUUAAGAAGUUCUAUCCUGUCCCUGUCCUUCCUGUCUUUCUCUUUCUCUGCCUCCUGCCCUCGUGAGAUAAGCAGCUUUGCCCUACCUAACUCCCCUCCAGGGACCUCUGCUUCACCAUACAGGGGCCUAGAAACAACAGGGUCAACUGAACUUACUUUCCUUCCCAUCCACUGUUCUCUCAAGCAUUUGAUCAUAUUUCAUUACUGCAGUCUGAUAAAUAAAACUUCUAAACCUGUCUCAAGUCUCUCGAUGGCAGUUUAGGAGAGAAGCACAACACUAUACCCAAGGGUGGACCCCAUGAGCUGUGUUCCCUGGUAUCCUGUCUCCUUGAGUAAGGCCUUCCUGGUCAGAGGUGCUCUCCUGCAAGGAUUUCCCAGAUCCCACUGCCUAUCACUUAGCCAAGCAAGAGUGACCUGCUGUUCUGGUUUGCCUGGUCCAGUCAUCCCAUGAUCCCGUAUGGUGCCCCUCUCCCUUCCUGGAGUCCCCCCCCCUGUUGUUUUUCUUCACAGCGACUAACUUCCAGCUUGCUGACAUUGAACCUUGCUUAAGAGACUAGUGUACCUCUUAGCAGACUUAAAUGUGCUCUCUUCAGAGAGCCAUGUUGACGCCUCUUGAAUAAAGGUUUCUUCUCAACUCUCAA